rnacentral:rRNA from 1 species
AAAAGUGAAAUUGGAUUUUCUUUUUAUAGAAUUAUAUAAAAGCUGAAGCAAUAAAAUGCUGGAUUUAAACUAGGAUUAGAUACCCUACUAUACCAGAGAGUAAUUAAUAAAAGCCUAAGUAGUAAUAGUUAUGUCCUAAAAAUUUGAAGAAUUUGGCGGUGAUUUAGUCUAGUCAGAGGAACCUGUUUUUGAAUCGAUAAACCACGAAUAAUCUUGCUCAAGUAUGUAUACCAUCAUUAUUAGGUAAUUUUUAUAGAAUAAAUUACUGAAUUUGCUAAUAAUGUUAAAUAUAUUAGAUCAAGGUGCAGCUUAUAGUUGAGUUAAAAUGGGUUACAAUAAGUUUUAUUUAUCACGGAGACAUAGUUAUGAAGGAGGAUUUGAUUGUAGAUAAGUUUAACACGCUUGUUAGAUAUAAGCUCUAAAUCAUGUACAUAUCGCCCGUCGCUUUC